CCUACGGGGGGCAGCAGUGGGGAAUAUUGGACAAUGGGGGGAACCCUGAUCCAGCCAUGCCGCGUGUGUGAAGAAGGCCCUCGGGUUGUAAAGCACUUUCAGUGAGGAAGAACGCCUGGUGGUUAAUACCCAUCAGGAAAGACAUCACUCACAGAAGAAGCACCGGCUAACUCCGUGCCAGCAGCCGCGGUAAUACGGAGGGUGCGAGCGUUAAUCGGAAUUACUGGGCGUAAAGCGCGCGUAGGUGGCUUGAUAAGCCGGUUGUGAAAGCCCCGGGCUCAACCUGGGAACGGCAUCCGGAACUGUCAAGCUAGAGUGCAGGAGAGGAAGGUAGAAUUCCCGGUGUAGCGGUAAAAUGCGUAGAGAUCGGGAGGAAUACCAGUGGCGAAGGCGGCCUUCUGGACUGACACUGACACUGAGGUGCGAAAGCGUGGGUAGCAAACAGGAUUAGAUACCCGAGUAGUC
rnacentral:rRNA from 1 species